CGAAAACUGCACAAACUGUGCGUGAACAAGAGAUCAUCAAGCGUCUGAAGUCGCAAAGUCGACGUACGCUGACCCAAACAAACCAAGAUUUUGAUCUGGAGAAUCCCGUCAAUGACCCUCUCCUUGAUGCACUUUCUCUUCUGGAGUUCCAUGGGCGCGAAAUUCGUGAAGGCGUGGCCAAUGCCAGUGCGAGUUUGUCGGCGUUGUUCCCCUACUUCUUCCCGAAGAAAGAGGAACCUUCGACUUUCCUUGCCCUUGCCAAGCUUUUCAAUUCGUCGGAAGACCUGGGAUUGAAGAUGCGUCAGGAGAAUAUGAAGGUUGCUUGUCGAGAGUACUGUUGCCCUGGUUGCUGACAGCCAACAGACGCUUGAUUGGAUGAAGGUUGGCGACACCAGCCAGGUAGAGCAUUCGAGAUGGAGGUCGCUGAUCAAGGCAGCCAAGCCCAACACGAAGAAGAUCUUGGCGUAUCUGGGGAUCAAGCCAGCUUCGACUCCUAGCUCCUCGAGGCCGGAGGUCUAGUUGCAUGCCUCCUUGUUUCUUUUUCUGUUUCUUUUGCUUUUGUUGCCAAAGUAGUUGUUUUGGCGACAUUCAUUUCCUUAGCUCCACUGUAGUGCCCUUGUAAUUAUUCCAAGAAAUUAAUGAAAAACUCUAUCUGUCAUUUGAUGUUGUCUUGUCUAAAUUUCAGUUGAUAUUUGAUAACUAUACUCCAACUUCCGCUCCUUCCAAUGUAUCGCCUUCUUCUCGUGCGAGGAGAGCUUUUGCUGAUACUGCACCUGUCGACGAUACCUUGUCGCAAGAACUGGAUGAACUUCGGCAGCAACUUCAGUAUGCGAAGAAGCAAACACUUGUGAUGAUGGAGCAAUCUCGUAAGUCAUCUGAAGCCGAAAAAAUUGCUCUUCAACAAUCUCACGAAGCCGUGGCUGCUAAGGAAAUUGCCGCUUCCGAGGCUGAAAAGGCAACUACUCGAGAAAAUUUCAUGCUCGAAUUAAUGAAUGAAGCCAGUGCAGAUAUGUCGGGUGCCUUUACUGAUGCUGCUGCCGAGGAGGAGAGGGUAAAUGCUAGGACAACCCUCCUUGUUAAUCUUUCCCUGGACCAUGGUUCUUUGUUUUGGGCUACCCCAGAGAGGACCCGCC